AUUGAACGCUGGCGGCAGGCCUAACACAUGCAAGUCGAACGAGUGGCGGACGGGUGAGUAAUGUCUGGGAAACUGCCUGAUGGAGGGGGAUAACUAGUGGAAACGGUAGCUAAUACCGCAUACCAUCGGAUGUGCCCAGAGGGGAUUAGCUAGUAGGUGGGGUAAAGGCUCACAUAGGCGACGAUCCCUAGCUGGUCCGAGAGGAUGAACGGCAACACUGGAACUGAGACACGGUCCAGACUCCUACGGGAGGCAGCAGUGGGGAAUAUUCGACAAGGGGCGAAAGCCUGAUGCAGCCAUGCCGCGUGUAUGAAGAAGGCCUUCGGGUUGUAAAGUACUUUCAGCGGGGAGGCGUUACCCGCAGAGGAAGCACCGGCUAACUCCGUGCCAGCAGCCGCGGUAAUUC
rnacentral:rRNA from 1 species